CAACCCUUGACAUCCCCGGACCGCUCCAGAGAUGGAGUUUCCACUUCGGUGGCCGGGUGACAGGUGCUGCAUGGCUGUCGUCAGCUCGUGUCGUGAGAUGUUCGGUUAAGUCCGGCAACGAGCGCAACCCACAUCCUUAGUUGCCAGCAGUUCGGCUGGGCACUCUAGGGAAACUGCCCGUGAUAAGCGGGAGGAAGGUGUGGAUGACGUCAAGUCCUCAUGGCCCUUACGGGUUGGGCUACACACGUGCUACAAUGGCAGUGACAAUGGGUUAAUCCCAAAAAACUGUCUCAGUUCGGAUUGUCGUCUGCAACUCGGCGGCAUGAAGUCGGAAUCGCUAGUAAUCGCGUAACAGCAUGACGCGGUGAAUACGUUCCCGGGUCUUGUA
rnacentral:rRNA from 1 species